AGAAUCAACGCUGGCGGCGUGCCUAACACAUGCAAGUCGAACGAGAAAGGGUAGCAAUACCUGAGUAAAGUGGCGCACGGGUGAGUAACACGUGACUAACCUACCUUUUAGUGGGGGAUAACCUAGGGAAACCUGGGCUAAUACCGCAUAAUACCUACGGGUCAAAGCAGCAAUGCGCUGGAAGAGGGGGUCGCGGCCGAUUAGCUAGUUGGCGGGGUAAUGGCCCACCAAGGCAGUGAUCGGUAUCCGGCCUGAGAGGGCGCACGGACACACUGGAACUGAAACACGGUCCAGACUCCUACGGGAGGCAGCAGUGGGGAAUUUUGCGCAAUGGGGGAAACCCUGACGCAGCAACGCCGCGUGGAGGAUGAAGACCCUUGGGUCGUAAACUCCUUUCGAUCGGGACGAUAAUGACGGUACCGGAAGAAGAAGCCCGGCUAACUUCGCGCCAGCACCGC
rnacentral:rRNA from 1 species